rnacentral:rRNA from 1 species
AACGCGAAGAACCUUACCUGGGCUCGAAAUGUUAUGGACCGUCUGUGAAAGCAGGCUUUCCCGCAAGGGACCGUAAUAUAGGUGCUGCAUGGCUGUCGUCAGCUCGUGUCGUGAGAUGUUGGGUUAAGUCCCGCAACGAGCGCAACCCUUACCCCAGUUGCCAUCAUUAAGUUGGGCACUCUGGUGGAACCGCCUCGGAUAACGGGGAGGAAGGUGGGGAUGACGUCAAGUCCUCAUGGCCUUUAUGUCCAGGGCUACACACGUGCUACAAUGGCCGGUACAAACCGUCGCAAAGCCGCGAGGUGGAGCUAAUCGGAAAAAGCCGGCCUCAGUUCGGAUCGCAGUCUGCAACUCGACUGCGUGAAGCUGGAAUCGCUAGUAAUCGUGGAUCAGAAUGCCACGGUGAAUACGUUCCCGGGCCUUGUACACACCGUAGAGAC